ensembl:lncRNA
GUUCUUCCCUGCCUUCAACGCGCUUUGCCUGUGUGAGAAUGCACUGCAGCUAAUAAUGUGUCGGUGCACACACACACACACACACACACACACACACACACACACACACUCACACACACCUCCUGAUCCAUUUGUGCUCUGUCCCCUCAUUAUCUACAAAGUAUGCAGGUUCACAUAAUAAAGCUAGCCUAGAUGCUAAUGAUCUUUUAUAUAUAGGCCACAUGGGAGUGUUAGUGUGUGUGUGUGUGUGUGUGUGUGUGUGUCUGUGUGCCCGGUGAAUCUAUGAGGAAAGUCUGGAUUAUUACCAUCAAUUGUUUUCUGUCUGUACAAUCUUUUUUUUCCACAGACAAAGGAAUACAUUAAAGUCUGAAAGGUCUUUAUAGUCAAUUUAUAAAAGUUCAAGACCGCCCUGUUUUUUCGUCUUUUCCCAUGCUUUUAACAGAAUACAUUCACAUUUUGAAAAGGAAAGAUCAUUUAUUUCCUUUAAAACAUGGGAGUGCACCACUCACCAUCCAUCAGACAAUGUCAUUUCAAAAGCCUGUCUGAUAUUAUGGCCUCCUCUGCUCCUCCUCAUGGCUCCUCUCCCCGCAUGGGUCGAGAUGAACGGUGUAGUUAUAAACGCAUGGGUCGAGAUGAACGUGUAGUUAUAAACGCAUGGGUCGAGAUGAACGGUGUAGUUAUAAACGCAUGGGUCGAGAUGAACGUGUAGUUAUAAACGUAUGGGUCGACAUGAACGGUGUAGUUAUAAACGCAUGGGUCGAGAUGAACGGUGUAGUUAUAAACGCAUGGGUCGAGAUGAACGGUGUAUAGUUAUAAACGCAUGGGUCGAGAUGAACGUGUAGUUAUAAACGCAUGGGUCGAGAUGAACGUGUAGUAAUAAACGCAUGGGUCGAGAUGAACGUGUAGUUAUAAACGCAUGGGUCGAGAUGAACGGUGUAGUUAUAAACGCAUGGGUCGAGAUGAACAAUGUAGUUAUAAACGCAUGGGUCGACAUGAACGUGUAAUUAUAAACGCAUGGGUCGAGACGGCUGUCUGAGGGAACAAGACGUAGGCCUGAAAGCUCAUCCCUUUCCAUUCAUUGUAGCAUGAGGACAUUUUAGCCACAAUUCUAUGUUCAAAAUAUUGUUUAAUUAUAUAGGUUUUAUUUGUGGGUCACAUUAUUUUGGGUGGGCACGUGCCCACCCUGAGUCAGUGGGCGUGACGCCGCGUGAAUGCUUCAACCAUUUCCUUAUUCCUUAGUGACCGCAUUUGUAGACAGAACGUUUUGCACAAACCCAUGGUUGGGCCACACAGGGUGUCUUUAUGUUGUGCCAUGUGAUCUUUAUGUCUUGGGGGAGAUGGAGUAACAUCACGUUUGACAUGAGGACACAGUGAGGGGAGAUGGGUGCAGGAUGGAUGAAGGUUUGUGUGUAGUUAAGGUGAGUGUGUGUGUGUGUGUGUGUGUGUGUGAAGGUUUGAGUGUAGUUAAGGUGUGUGUGUGUGUGUGAAGGUUUGUGUGUAGGUAAGGUGAGUGUGUGUGUGUGUGUGUGUGUGUGUGUGUGAAGGUUUGUGUGUAGGUAAGGUGAGUGUGUGUGUGUGUGUGUGUGUGUGUGAAGGUUCGUGUGUAGGUAAGGUGAGUGUGUGUGUGUGUGUGUGUGUGAAGGUUUGUGUGUAGGUAAGGUGAGUGUGUGUGUGUGUGAAGGUUUGUGUGUAGGUAAGGUGAGUGUGUGUGUGUGUGUGUGAAGGUUUGUGUGUAGGUAAGGUGAGUGCCGUCUCAGACUACUGGGCUGAAAGCAUCGGAGGAUUACUUCAUACACACACACACACACACACACACACACACACACACACAGACACACACACACACACACACACACAGACGCACACACACACACACUCACACACACACACACACACACACACACACACACAGACACACACACACACACACACACAUGCAUCGGAGGAUUACUUCUGCUUCUUUUAAACGUCACCAUAGCAACCGACGUGUUUGGGUUUUUUUCCUGGCUGAAGACAUGAACAAGGAGAGUGCUUCCGUUCACUGAAGAAGGUGAACACACACACACACACACACACACACACUCAUGAAGAAGGAGAGUGCUUCCGUUCACUGAAAAAUUGAGAAUUAAAGUUUGAGAAUUAUAUGCCAGAAUGAGGACAGCAAAUACUUAUACCCACCGCAUACCCUGCACACACACACACACACACACACACAAACCCUGGUCCCAGGGGCAACGCACACACAAACACACACACACACGCACACACCCUGGUCCCAGGGGCAACGCACACACAAACACACACACACACACACACAAACACACACACACACACACAAACACCCUGGUCCCACACACACACAAACACACACACACACACACACACACACACACACCCUGGUCCCAUACACACACACACACACGCACACAAACACACACACACCCUGGUCCCACAAACACACACACACACACACACACACACACCCUGGUCGCACACACACACACACACACACACACCCUGGUCCCACACUUCAAAUCCACAGGGAUCAUUCCAUACGCUACUCACACACGCCAUUCACUCCAUAAAAAACCCUAACUUUGAAAGUAAACCUACACCCACAGAAUAUGCAUUAAAAGACUACUCUUAAGCUGACAAAAACACACACACACACACACACACACACACACACACACACACACACACACACACACACACACACACAUCCGGAAGGCCACACACGAUAAUCAGAGGAUUACGGUUCAGCCCCUGACGAUCUCCUCUUCCCUCCUGGAGGCUGCUGGGUAAUUGAGAUGGGGAUCUUCACUCUCACUUUUUCAUUUAGCCGCCGCCUCGUCCCCAUCCAGGCGGAAUGUUCUGGUUCCUCUGUGUAAUCCCCUCCUGGAGCCUGAUGUGUGUGUGUGUGUGUGUGUGUGUGUGUGUGAGUGAAUGUGUGUGUGUGUGUGUGUGUGUGUGUGUGUGUGUGUGUGUGUGUGUGUGUGUGUGUGUGUGUGUGUGUGUGUGCGCCCGCCUGAUUAGCUUGAUAAUUAACUCUUUGAGGCUCAGUCCGCCGCAGGCUAACGCUUAAAGAAAAAAAGAAAAGAAAAAGGCAUGGUGUUUCACUUUACCCAGGUAGGGCAGUCAGCUGUGUGUCGGACGUCCACCGGAACCGCGUCGGAUGAGGGUCGGGACCGAUCCGGGGUCUGAUACGCUGCGUUGGUUUUCCCUUACACGUUGUUCCGGCUGGUGUUGUCACGACAACGGAAAGUGCUGCUAAUCUUGUAAUCCAAAAAUGACUCUGUGUUCCUGUGGAUCUAAUUAGGACUUAAUAUUGAGACCUGCACUGGGCUGGGAGGCACUGUGUGUGUGUGUGUGUGUGUGUGUGUGUGUGUGUGUGUGUGUGUGUUAAUAUUUGCCUUUCCUUUCCAUUGAAGCCCCAAAGUAAGUGAUAUCCUAAAGACAUGUUUGUGUUUGUUUGUCCGUGUGUGUGUGUGGUGUGUGUGUGUGUGUGUGUGUGUGUGUGUGUGUGUGUGUGUGUGUGUGUGUGUGUGUGUGAAUAUUUGCCAUUCCUUUCCAUUGAAGCCCCAAAGUAAGUGAUAUCCUAAAGACAUGUUUGUGUUUGUUUGUCCGUGUGUGUGUGUAUGUGUGUGUGCCCAAAAGCCUGUGUGUGUGUGUGUGUGUGUAUGUGUGUGUGUGUCCUAUUAAGCCAUGUUAGGCAUGCAUGUCCACUACCCUGUCUAGACAUCAUAAGUGUCUUGUAAAAGUCCCAGGGUGCCGGAACAAGCUGAGUCAUUUGCUAAUCCUUCUGAAAACAAUCAUCGACACACACACACCCACACACACACACACACACACACAGGCUUUUGGGCAUUAGCAAAAUGAACAGCAAAACCACGCUGGUCACCCUUUCACCUUGCAGUUUAGAGAGAGCGAGAAAAAAGAGAAAAUGACACGGCACAGUAAAUAUGCAUUCAAGCUUUUUGCACAUGCCUUAAGCACACACACACACACACACACACACACACACACACACACACACACACAUGCCUUAAGCAUCUCAUUCUUUUCACAUGGGCUCGUUUUUUUAUUAUUUCCAAUUUGAGAUUAAAGGCUUAUGUGAUUAUUCAUUGCUAAUAUCAUCACAAUAUUUAGAGACUUAAAGGA